UACGUAGGGUGCAAGCGUUAAUCGGAAUUACUGGGCGUAAAGCGUGCGCAGGCGGUGAUGUAAGACAGGUGUGAAAUCCCCGGGCUUAACCUGGGAACUGCAUUUGUGACUGCAUGGCUAGAGUUUGGCAGAGGGGGGUAGAAUUCCACGUGUAGCAGUGAAAUGCGUAGAUAUGUGGAGGAACACCGAUGGCGAAGGCAGCCCCCUGGGUCAAGACUGACGCUCAUGCACGAAAGCGUGGGGAGCAAACAGG
rnacentral:rRNA from 1 species